UAUUAGAUUUGCCUUGCAGGCUCAAAAAAAAAAAAAAAAAAAUGUGUAUUUACUGUUUCUUUUGUAGAGCCAGUAAGUUUCAACAAGAUGGCUUUAAAAGAAUUUUUGUAUGUGGCUGUGAAUAAUAACCUAAUGCGAUGCACACUAAAAUCACAUUUUUCAUAAUCUGUUUUUCCUUUUAGCUAGCUUCUUGACAUGAAGAAACUUAAAAUUUUUAUAAAGUGAAACGAAGGUGAUUGUUAUCUUUACGACCUUAGCCAUGUGUUUUCAAACUUUCAAAGGUAUAAACAGAUGAGAUGGGAACGUGCUGCCGAGUUCAAGGCUCUCAAGCAAUGUUGACGAAACAUGGUGCCGCAGACCCCCAAGAAUUAAUUCACACAGGUGGAAUUUGUUCCUUACAAAGGAGUCUUUUCUUCCAAUUUGAACAAUUCAACUUCCCCUGAGCCAGAUCUCUGCCAGAUCAAUGGAUUCAAUGAUUGCAUAUUUGACCUAAUUGUCCAAGCAACGAAAGUGGUUGAUUCUUGAUUUUGUGGAGAUAAAAGACAGUUUAGAGAAGAAUGUGUCCACGUGUUACCUGUUGCCUAGGAACGGUUGAGCUCUUAGAAGAAAAUGCACUAAGAUUCCUGCCCUCUGUCCCCCACACCACUUCUGUGCAUAUCUGCGAUCAAUCGACCAAAGGCAUGGACCUGAGUGAGGAAGAAACACUCCGUGAAUACCUCGACAGUGGUAUGUACUACAUGGCUUUUUAAUUAUCCAAUUACCUGUCUGGUCAAUUGUUUUUUAAAUCACUAUAACACAAAGAUUAAUAUACUACUCCCCAAUAAAAAUACUUGGUAUGUGAAUCUAUGUGUAGAACACAGAAUAGAGUUUAGACAUAUAGUCACACUGAUUUCAUGUAUCGGUUUAUUUUUAUACCUUUAAAAGUGGAUU